rnacentral:rRNA from 1 species
CCUACGGGAUGCAGCAGUGAGGAAUAUUGGUCAAUGGACGAGAGUCUGAACCAGCCAAGUAGCGUGAAGGAUGACUGCCCUAUGGGUUGUAAACUUCUUUUAUAUGGGAAUAAAAUGUUCCACGUGUGGGAUUUUGUAUGUACCAUAUGAAUAAGGAUCGGCUAACUCCGUGCCAGCAGCCGCGGUAAUACGGAGGAUCCGAGCGUUAUCCGGAUUUAUUGGGUUUAAAGGGAGCGUAGGUGGAUUGUUAAGUCAGUUGUGAAAGUUUGCGGCUCAACCGUAAAAUUGCAGUUGAAACUGGCAGUCUUGAGUACAGUAGAGGUAGGCGGAAUUCGUGGUGUAGCGGUGAAAUGCUUAGAUAUCACGAAGAACUCCGAUUGCGAAGGUAGUUCACUGGACUGCAACUGACACUGAGGCUCGAAAGUGUGGGUAUCAAACAGGAUUAGAUACCCCAGUAGUC